GAACUUCUUGAACAACUGAUAAUUUGGUGUUGCUCGAUGAACACUGAAGGACACGAACCUCGUUUGAAUAUGAAUUGCACCAAUUAGACCCACCUUUAUUCGCAACGCGUCUGUUUGUUCACUGAUUGACCAGCUUAAAUCUAACUCGAGGUCAACGCAAAUCUCAAAAGGGUCACCUCGAGCUUCCGUAAUCCACCUAAAAACUUCUUCAAAUUUAGACUGCUUCCAUUAUCCAAAAUAACUAUACAAUCUAAUUGAAAAGUCAUUUAUCCUCGCAUUGGUUAACGCAGCGAAAAAGCAUCCUCAACAUUGUAAAUGAAACCGCGGAUGUUGCGGUUAUUUCAAACCAUCAGAUCCGUGCGACAGAAACAAUUCUCAAGUGCAGUGCAGGACGUUGUGGCUGGAAAUCGUGUUUCGCUUUGACAAUACUUCCUCUAGAAAAAUAAGAAAAAAGUAACUGAUGUGUCGAAAUUGUGACGAUUUUUAAGUUUUUGACAAUAUGAGCAAUAAUCAGUCUUUAAUUUUACGAAAAAUGAAAUCCAAAAGUUUUUAUAACACAGUAAGUCAAGUGUUUAUUUUAAAAAUUAAUAUCUUGCUGAUGCUCUUAACUUUUUAACAGGCAGAUCUUCAAUGUUUCGUUUGACUGAAUGCACCACAAAGAUUUCAAACAAUGUGUAACAUUUGUUCUUAUUUAUCAGAAAGUACUUAUUUCCAUUACAAUUAUAUACUCAUAGCUAUAAUUUAGGAUGAUAAUUAUUCCCUCUGUAUAUAAUACGAUUUGAAAUUAAGGGGGUCUCCACCACUUUAACAUACUCGUGAAAAAUGUACAAGGAGCUCAGCCCUUCAUUAGCAUACACUGAUGAAGAUUGGUGAAGUGAAGCAUUUGGAUGCGGAUCUGUUUUUUAAGUUUAUAAUGCCAUACGUGAAUGACAAUAUAAAUAAGAAAUGAUGUAAUUUUUAAAUAAUUACAUUUUAGACAGAUGUGCUUCUCCAGAAUGACGUGCAGGCAGGAAGUGAAAAAGUGCAUAUUUCGAGUUAGUUACGUAGAAGUGAACUUCAUCAUUAUCAUUUAUGUAAUACAAUUUGUGUAUUGAAUAAACUAUUUAAAUAA